AUUGAACGCUGGCGGCAUGCUUUACACAUGCAAGUCGAACGGUAACAGGCCGCAAGGUGCUGACGAGUGGCGAACGGGUGAGUAAUGCAUCGGAACGUGCCCAGUCGUGGGGGAUAACGCAGCGAAAGCUUCGCUAAUACCGCAUACGAUAUAUGGAUGAAAGCGGGGGACCGUAAGGCCUCGCGCGAUUGGAGCGCGCGAUGUCAGAUUAGGUAGUUGGUGGGGGAAAGGCUCACCAAGCCAACGAUCUUUAGCUGGUCUGAGAGGACGACCAGCCACACUGGGACUGAGACACGGCCCAGACUCCUACGGGAGGCAGCAGUGGGGAAUUUUGGACAAUGGGCGCAAGCCUGAUCCAGCAAUGCCGCGUGCAGGAAGAAGGCCUUCGGGUUGUAAACUGCUUUUGUACGGAACGAAACGGCUCUGGUUAAUACCUGGGGCUAAUGACGGUACCGUAAGAAUAAGCACCGGCUAACUACGUGCCAGCCGCCGCCGUAAGAC
rnacentral:rRNA from 1 species